CCAUCAGCAUCGUCAUCGGCAAUCAGCAAUCAUCGAAGCCAUCAAAAGGCAACUAGUUCUAACUUUCGACGACGACAUUGACCUCGAGUACGCAGACGGCGGCGGUGGCAGCGGCAGCGGCGACGGCAACGACCACGAAGAUAACCUCACAAUCGCGGCAGAGGUCGAUGGUGGUGGUGGCAGUACGCUAAGCGCUACCUCGAAGGAAAAACUUGCGAUAACGUUUUCCACCGCCGCCGCCGCCACCGCCGUGUGCGAGCAACUGGUCGAUGAAAACGCCGGUGACUCGCCGCGCACACUGAGCGAGCGGAAGAGCGAAACGGCCAGUUUCACAACGCAUCCGGUCACCGCUAUCGAUCCGGACCAUCCUGGUUCGGCACUCGGCUCCGCACUGAAGAGCCAAACAACAGACAACGGCGACGGUGACACCGUUCCGGGUGCUGCGACGAGCGGUGAACCCAGGGGUGGUGGCAGCUGCGACGGAACUACUUGUACAACCGAGAAGCCAGAGAGGCGCGACGAAGCUGAAGCAGCCGAAGAAGCCGUCUCCUGUUCCACGGCGGAAUCCACCGACGGUUCCGACGCCGGCCCUCCGGAAACCAGCACCGACGAUCUAACUAUGCCCGUCCGCGUUGACAUUGUGCCGCCUCCACCCAACAACUCCAAGCAGCUGGGGGUCACAAAAUCGCUGCUGUACAAUGGCUCCAAAUUUCGCGGGUAUCAAAAGUCCAAAGGCAACGCAUACGAGGUGGAGGUAGUGCUACAGCACGUCGACGAAGCCAACUCGUACCUCUGCGGGUACCUGAAGAUUACUGGCCUAACGUUCGAGUUCCCCACCCUGACUACGUUUUUCGACGGGGAAAUCAUCUCAAAGAAAUAUCCCUUCCUCACACGCAAAUGGGAUGCCGACGAAGACGUAGAUAGGAAGCACUUUGGUAAGUUUGCCGCGUUCAGCGAUUAUCAAAAGACGUUCAACUCGGACGACUUUGACUACGAUGCGCUGGAGAAGAGUGACUUUGUUUUCAUGCGUUGGAAGGAACAUUUUUUGGUACCUGAUCACAAGAUAAAAGACAUCAACGGAGCAUCGUUUGCCGGGUUUUAUUAUAUUUGCUUCCAAAAGUCGCGCGCCGUUAUGGAGGGCUAUUAUUACCAUCGAUCAUCGGAAUGGUAUCAGUCUCUCACCCUUCAGCAUGUGGCCGAGUCGUGCAUUCAGAUCUAUGAAUUCCGAUAAGUUUUCAACGACUGCGCGUGGGCAUAGGUGGCGUUUAAGUUCGAACAAAAAAAACUAUGAUGCAUCGCUAGCCAUUUUUCCACCCUAGGACUGUCAUUACCAUGGUCCAUUUUCUGCGGCAUCAAAAGAUGGCAUGACACAAACACAUUUACAUAGAACAAAAUGUGUAACUUACAUGCAUCCCUUGUGUUACUGCGAUACACUUCAAACUGAUUGCUCUUAUGUGGUAUGAAAACGUCUCAUGAAUGCAGCAAACCCGACCAUCUCUAAUCGUCACAGCUCGCUCGAUACGAUCAAACGUACAAUACUCAAAUGCAGUUGUUUAAGCGGUGGUGAUGCAAUAUUCUUAAGGUCUGCCAGUAACAAUUUCCUUUGGAUGCGGAAAUACGCCUUGAAUGCCACCACGGAUAAGCAAAUGCAAAAACGGCGUCAUUAUUUCCACUAUCACUUGCAAUAUGCGUUAAGAAUGUAGGGUCGGGGUCAUGUUGAAUAUUCGAUGAUGUAUGUUCUGAUAAGCGUAGCGAUAGCUAGGUGUCGUUCUGCUGGUUUAAGCGUUUCCACGCAAACAAACUUCUAGGUGCGUUUUUUAAAUUGUGUACUUUACGAUGGCGAUGUAUGUUAAUCUAUAUGAUACACACAAUUGUGGAAGCCACUAGUAAACAUCGAUUUUGUUUUAUUUGUAACUGUGUUCUAUUUUUUUUAUUGGGUGUUUCUAUUGUUUGACACACCGUAAACAAAACACAACCGGACCAACUUUGGAUAGUUGUUCGAGCCUUAAACUUUGUAUAUAUUGUAUAAACGUCCGUUGCGCCCGCCGCACCACCAAUGCCGUUAUCAACAUCAACAGCUCACCUUAGAACAAUCAUCCGUUGUCUUAUUUGUUGCAAUCCACUGAAUAUUUUCAUGCAAAAACAACAGACAACGAACUGGAUCGCGGUGAAUGGCGCAGUGACUCCUGGCAAUAACUGCUGGCUGCUGCUGGCCACUAAAACGACAACAAUCGAGUGAAAGAAGCAAACUGAAAGACCUACGAAACAUCCAUAUAAAAUAUCAAAAGUUGAUACCAGAUGUCAACGCCAACGGUUACGGCGGCUCCUUCUUCAAUUUAGAAGAAAAUGGGCCGAUGAUAUCGUCAGUCCCAAAAUGCGCACCAAACAGUCCCUCGUUUCGGGUGCAUUCGCUUCUCUUGCCCGACGUGUGGGCUUUCCGAAUCCCAAAAACGACAAUUAUGCUUAUCAAUAUAGCCACCGAGGCGGAAAUAAGCCUCAAUGAAAUGUGCUUUUCAAAUAUCGUACCGUUUGCGUUGAAGACCUAGCACUUUGGAAAUAAGUUUACCAUAUUUCCCAACUUUCUGCAACCGAAAUU